rnacentral:misc_RNA from 1 species
AAAGUCGUAACAAGGUUUCCGUAGGUGAACCUGCGGAAGGAUCAUUACCAAAUCCAAAACUUUUAUCAACACCAAAAAAGUGAACUGAGAAUGGUUUCGUUCCCACUGGAAGAAGUUGUUCUUUUUGCGUUUUUUCUCAGGAAAAACAAAAGAAGAACGGCUCGGACGGUGGGAAUGUUUAUUUUUUCAACCCCUUUUCAACCUCUUACAAUCUUUUAUGCUGAAAGCAAAAAAAAAACGAAACAUGAGACAACUUUUAACGGUGGAUCUCUUGGCUCGU